GCUCCCCUUAAGCCUAGCUUAGUAUUGGGUACUACUAUCUAGUAGGCCUUAAAUCUAGAAUGGACCCCUAGAUGAUUUUAGCGUACUAUAGUCCCGCUACUGGAUCUUGUAGGGGGCACCAACUAUUUCAAU
rnacentral:misc_RNA from 1 species